rnacentral:lncRNA from 1 species
GUAUUCUCUUCAUAUUCUUCCAUAGAGCUGCAACAUAAUGAAUCUAGAUAAUAGAUUGCAUUAUCUAUUCGGUGAAUCUAGAUAAUAGAUCGUAUUACCUAUUCAGAUAGCGAUUGAUGAAUCCAUGCAAGAAUCAUAAUAUUGCAUCGGAUCCACGGAGCAUACAAAUGAUCAUAAAUUGAGGGUUUGGGAAGACUUUCGUCAAUGAUUUUUUUUUUUUGUUCUUCGAAAUCAAUGCUAUGUGCAUUGAUCGCUCCUCCUAUGGUAAUCUUGUGAUCCAGAGUUGGAGAAACAAGAAUAGAGGAUGUAUUUUCAUUUGAGUGGAAGUGCAAGUAAUAGGAAUUUGCAAAAUUCAUAGAGAAAUCGAAAUAGGUCAGAAUAGUCAUGAUCAAAGAGGAAAAGUGAGAAGGAAAUAUGCAAAAGAUGCACGAGGAAUAAAGGGAAAAGGCACAUAGAGCGAAAUGAAUAAGAAGCGAUCAAUAAUGGCUACCAGCUAUGGUUGAGCUCUGAUACGAUGAUAACAUGAAUAAAUCAAGCUAAGAAUAAACUAAAUUUCAUUCUUGAUGUAAAAUCAAUUUCUUGCAUACACGGUAAAAGUCAAUGUAUGUGUGUAUACUUCCUCCAAUCUCAUUUAUAAAUAAAUCUUUACUUUCUAUAUUCAUUGAAUUAAUAAUUGAUGCAUGUGAUUUAUAA